AGCAACAGCCAAAUUGUAUUACGACUUUUGCGUCUACCUUGGGAAAUCCCUUUCUAUUUGUAUUUCGCGCUUCGUGUCACGUGAUUCACACACAAACAAACAAAAUGGCGGAGGCUUCGAAAUCUACAAUGAGCGUACCAGCCAAAACAGAGGGAGAGAUGAGAAGAAGUAAAUGCGUGAGACAGCCAUCUAAGAGAAUGUUGUUGUAUUCUCAGGACACAGAUUCAGAUUCAAGUCUACAGAAGAGUUAAGGAAAACGUCCUGCCAGAAAGAUCCAGAAAGUUGAUACAUUAGCAACAAUAACUAAGUGGUGCUCUUGUCACAGAUGCCCACAAUACGAGAGAGUGGAAGAUCGAGUUUGCUGUGGGAUGGUCCCAGAAUUAUGCUCAAGUCACAGACCUGAGAUGACUCUUUCGGUGCUGGAUAGGAUGACCCUCUACAGUCAGCAGCAGUAUCAACAAGAUGUGUUUUCCUUUUAUGCAGAGACACUAGAAGAUGUCAAUAAAUCUUUUAGACAUGCUGCAUACAGACAAUUUACCAUCUUAAUGCAUGAGAAUAACUGUCCCAGCAUGUUGUGUUAAAUUAAUAAGGGAGAAGUUUCCUAGUCCUUAAGGCCAGUAUACAGGCUUCGUACCAGGUGAAGGCCCAGUGUUCUAAUAAUUUUGCAUAUUUAUGCCCCCCUUCGAAGAAGAGGGGGUAUAUAGUUUUGCACAUGUCAGUCCGUCCACCAGAUGGUUUCGGGAUGAUAACUUAAGAACGCUUAGGCCUAGGAUCAUGAAACUUCAUAGGUACAUUGAUCAUGACUGGCAAAUAACCCCUAUUGAUUUUCAGGUCACUAGGUCAAAGGUCAGUGACUCGAAACAGUAAAGCGGUUUCCGGAUGAUAACUCAAGAAUGCAUACGCCUAGGAUCUUGAAACUUCAUAGGUACAUUGAUCACGACUGGCAGAGGACCCCUUUAGAUUUUCCGGUCACAAGGUCAAGGUCACAGUGACUCAAAACAAUCAAAUGGUUUCCAGCUGAUAACUCAAGAAUGCUUACGCCUUUUGAUCAUGAAACUUCAUAGCUACAUUGAUAAUGACUGGCAGAUGACCCCUUUUGAUUUUCAGGUCACUAGGUCAAGGUCACAGUGACUCGAAAUAGUAAAAUGGUUUCCUGAUGAUAACUCAAGAAUAAUUAGGCCUAGGAUCAGGAAACUUCAUAGGUACAUUGAUCAUGACUGACAGAUGACCCCUAUUAAUUUUCAGGUCACUAUGUCAAAGGUCAAGGUCACAGUGACAAAAAACGUAUUCACACAAUAGCUGCCACUACAACUGACAGCCCAUAUGGGGGGCAUGCAUGUUUUACAAACAGCCCUUGUUGCUAUUCUUUUUCAUUUAUCAGACAUAGAACUUUUCUUAGUUUUGAUUAUUUUUUGUUCUGGCUCCUUUUUUGAAACAUUUAUAUUUAUGCAAAUCAUUUGAGUUAUGCUUAAUCAUUUGGAUUUUUCAGUUCUAUGCAUUUUGUUUUGAAAAAUCAAUUUGUGUGAAAUGUGCUAGUUUAUUAUUAAAACUUGCACAGCAGUUUUUACAUUUGUAUGCUUACUUUGGUGUCAUUUGAAUGAAAUGCCACGAGUACUCUGGAUUGUAAGAUGAAAGAAAUAAAAGAAGCAAUGACA